GCUAGUAAUCGCGGAUCAGAAUGCCGCGGUGAAUACGUUCCCGGGUCUUGUACACACCGCCCGUCACACCAUGGGAGUCGAUAACGCCCGAAGUCAGUGACCCAACCGUAAAGGAGGGAGCUGCCGAAGGCGGGAUGGAUAACUGGGGUGAAGUCGUAACAAGGUACC
rnacentral:rRNA from 1 species